rnacentral:lncRNA from 1 species
AAAGAAGCUGAAGUUCCGAAAUGGUUACAUGAAUUGAGAUUGUAAUAGGAGGGAUCUAGGUGCUGUCAAUUGAAUGGAGUGAGGCCCAAACAGCAACUAAUCUCUUUAAUAGGGAGAUCCAGAAAUACACAGAGACCUUUCUUUAUAUUCCUAAACUGAUGAGAAAGGUAAUCUGGCCUAGUGAUUCCACAGAUUGACUUCAGGACACUCUAGGUUGCUCCCACGAGUGUGGGAAUCAACUCAGAGAAAUUUGCAAAAACUCCAAAACAAAUCAUUUUGGUUUUUAAAAACAUGAGUGUUUUAAAACUGUUUUUUAAAAAAUGAGUGACUAAGAGAUGUCCCGUUCCCCACUCACUUCUUCUCUCGUAGGCAGUGGGAGAGCUGGAAGAGCCUGUUACAAACCUCAGCCCAUUAGCAUCUCCCAGCUCUGUCUUUUGAGAAGAUGACUGAGAGGAAGGUGGUAUUGAGAAAACAAAGCAUCCAGCCUUUGUGAAGCUGAGCCUUAAGGUCCCCUCUCCAGCCCUGGCUGACCCCAGACCCUCGUUUUCUUCUCUGGCAUCCAACUUCAAGGAUUGGCCUGUUUCCCUUUAACUAUAGCUACCACUCAGCUCACUCGCUGAAGAAGGCAGAGCCCACGCCUCCUGGCACAGUUUCCCUUCGGCUACCUAAGGCAAGCGAAUGAGUCUUUUUCAUCGUAAUGAGCUGUAUUUCCCUCACUAUGGAACAACAGGGGCUAAACAAAUUAAUAAAUAUGCUCAGCUUUUCCUUCUUGGUUUGUGAAUUCUCUCUACGUUUUGGCUAUCAUCCUAACCACUUGCCACAAGCAGCACAAUUAAUGUUUUUUCUGCAAUUAAUGUUUUUUCCCCAUUUAGCUUGCUCUUUCUUUCUUUUCUUUCUUUUCUCUCUCUCUCUCUCUCUUUCUGUGCUGGGAUUACAGGCAUGAACCACCGCGCCCGGUCGAGUUUUUUUCUUAAUAUGCUGUUUUGCUGAACUGAGUUUUAGUUCCUAGUAACAGAGACUAACUCUGGAAAGCUUUCGUCAACGACAAUGAAAACAACAGCAGCAAAAGAAAUUAUCAGACGGUUGUUAUCUCAUGAGAUCUACUUUGGAUUAGUGCUGUCAUGUUCCCCUCCAAGCAUUCACACAGGAAUGUGGUCAUGUCAUUUCUAGAACAGUAUGAAGACAAGUAGGAUCUUUACAGCCCUGAGUCUUCCCAUCUGAGCUUGAGGUCUGGCUCUCCCAGUCUCUCUCACUGAGAACAAUUUUUACACAUAAUACUGGGGUUUAAAAAGCUCAAGCCACUUGAGGUGGGAUGUUUUUCUGAGG